rnacentral:rRNA from 1 species
GAUGAACGCUGGCGGCGUGCUUAACACAUGCAAGUCGAACGGACAAUUAUGAAACCUAGUGAAUGAUUGUUAGUGGCGGACGGGUGAGUAACGCGUGGGCAACCUGCCUCGUACUGGGGGAUAACACUCAGAAAUAGGUGCUAAUACCGCAUAAGCGCACGGAGACGCAUGUUUCUGUGUGAAAACUCCGGUGGUACGAGAUGGACCCGCGUCUGAUUAGCUAGUUGGUGGGGUAACGGCCUACCAAGGCGACGAUCAGUAGCCGGCCUGAGAGGGUGACCGGCCACAUUGGGACUGAGACACGGCCCAA